rnacentral:rRNA from 1 species
GGUUGACCUCGGAUCAGGUAGGAAUACCCGCUGAACUUAAGCAUAUCAAUAAGCGGAGGAAAAGAAACCAACAGGGAUUGCCUCAGUAACG